rnacentral:rRNA from 1 species
GACGUAGGGGGCAAGCGUUGUCCGGAAUCAUUGGGCGUAAAGAGCGUGUAGGCGGCCAGAUAAGUCCGCUGUGAAAUCUCGAGGCUCAACUUCGAGCUUUCGGUGGAAACUGUCUGGCUAGAGUCCGGAAGAGGAGAAUGGAAUUCCUGGUGUAGCGGUGAAAUGCGCAGAUAUCAGGAAGAACACCCGUGGCGAAGGCGGUUCUCUGGGACGGUACUGACGCUGAGACGCGAAAGCGUGGGGAGCGAACAGG